GUACUGUGACAAUACUGUAAAGAUGGCUGUUGGUUCUUGUAAAAGAUAUUUACACACAAGAGAUUUUUGAUAAACAGUCAUUAUUAAUGUGGAUAUGAUGACAAAGCAGGUAAAGGCAAGUAACAGAACGAGAAGAGUAUGUUGAGAA